CGUCCUCUCGUGGACUGUUGCCUGGGCUGCUGGAGGAUCCUGCAGCGCCUCCGGAGGUCUGGAGGAUCUUCUCUACUUCCCACCCGUUGCUGUAGAUUCUUCGGCUUGUGGGGGUUUGGCUCAUUUUAUCUUUCUGGAAAUCCUUGACUGGGAACCUCCUCUACACUGACUGUGGCUUCUGCUCAGUUCCCUUGUUCCUUGAGCCUCCUCCUACCCAGCUGCACACCCAGUGGCAGACACCCUGCCCUGCUAACAAUUCCAAGUCUGCUGCCAGAGGAGCCAUCCCCAGAGACACAGUGGGACCCGGCAGCUAACAGUCGCCUUGUGAUCACACAACCACCGUGCCUGAGCUCUCAAGCGGUGUUGCUGAGAACACAGCACCAAGCCACUGGUAGUGCCAGUUAUUUCAGCUACACCAUGGCUUACGUGAGACAGUAUAUGAUAAUGUACAUGAAAGCUGCAUACAGAGUAUGAUUUGGUUAUUCAGCCCCAUUACAAUCUUCAGGGACCACCAUCCUAUAAGCGGUCCGUCACUGACUGAAACGUCAUUACGCAGCUCGGUAUUAGUACGUUACUGCCAACAAAAGCGCUCAGCACGAAACUGCGCUAGGAUUACGGAGACCAGAUUCCUGCCUCUCCUUCCACGACACUGGUUCUCACACUGACACAGUCUAAUUCUUUAUUCCUCAAACUUGAACCACUCACUAUCAAAAAGCACUGGGUUAGGAAAUGGCCAUGAACUUAAAAAUUGCAGGCAUACCUUGGCAAUAUUGCGGUUUGGGUUCCAGACCACGCAAUAAAGCGAGUGUCCCAAUAAAGUGAGUCAUAAUCUGUUUGCUAGUGGAGGGUCUAGCCUUUCAUUAGUAAACAAAAUGCAACCUCUGUGAAGCACAAUAAAGCGAAGUACAGUAAAAUAAAACUAGGUAUGCCUGUACUACAUACUGUCUUUCAUAAAGUGUAAUAUUACACACAGCGGUUUCCAGUCUGAAUAUCAUUGAUCUAGAAAAUGAUGAUGUAAAUAAGAUGUUUAAAAUAUAUAAUUUACAAUUUAGUCAUCAAUUAGUUUUAAGUUUUAGUCUAUUGUCUAUAGCUGGAAUUCUCAAACUUGACUGCAUAUGAAAAUAGCCUGGGGAGUCUUUUUCAAAACAGGGACUCCUCGGCCCUACCUCCAGAGUGGGGCUGGAAAAAUCUGUAUAGUUGAAAGAACUCCUCAGACGAUUUGCUGCAAAUAAAUCUUGGACAUAAAAAUGAAAACGUAACUAAUCUACCUUAUUUCCUAGAAGACGGUGGUUCUCUUAGCAUUAUUUGCAUUUACAUCCUUAAGUACUUUUUGAUAAACAUUUAGGUACUUUUUGUGAUUCUGACCAAUCCCCACGAAGUUAGCCUCUUACUUGUUUUAUAAAUUUAAACCAGUCAAGUAUGGGAAUAACAAUGCGUGCCUUUAGGACAAUGUAACUGAAAGCACUACACUGCAAAAUACUAGACAAUAUAGGUCUCUGCAGAAGUCCACGCGUCAGCUAUUCUGUCACCUGUCCUUAUUAGUUUCCCUAUAUUUCUCAACCUGUCAAUUCUAACCCUCAACACAACUGUUAGAUACUGUUUGUAUUUAACCAACAACAAAAAAGUACAUGUGCUCAGCCCAAAAUUGUUUUAAAUAGGUCCAGGGCCACCAGUAAGCAUUCAUUAUUGGUAUUCUACCAACAGGGCCAGAAGCUAAUUUUCUCUGGUUCUACUCCAAGCAGAAGAGAUAAGACAUGUCCUUGAGGCUUUAGCUGCCUAAAAGUUUUAUAGAGACUAUAGGAAAAGAUAGUGGGACUUGACAGAUAAAAGGAUUCUGUACAUUCAGAAUCCAGAGUUGGACUCAACCACCAUGAAGGCAGUCUGAUUCCAUCCCCAAGUGGUAAAUGACAAAUGUUAGUCCCAGAGGCAUUUCAUAUUACAUUUGUACAAUCUAUUAUUUAAUGGACUCUGGGAACAGUGGCACUGCAUACAAUUUGUCCUAUAUAUUUUACUGCAAGUAGAUGACCAGGGCGGAUGGAGGUUUAUGGACAUAAGAACUGAGCUAGAAUGAUUCCCUGGAGAAUGGAUAGAAGGGGGAGUAUGGACAGGUUUUCUGACUCUUGGUCAUGGGACCACUAAGAGCAUAAGGGAUGGGCAAAGGGGACAGGUUCCAAUGAGACAAGCCUAGGUUUGGAUGAAGAGUGACACCCACAUGGGUGCCCAUGAGGGCACUGUACAUAUUAGUGUCUUCUUGAUACGAAGACUCUCAAGAAAAAUUUUGCCACAGAAAUACAUAGCUGGUAUUUCUGAAAAACAAACAAACACAAAAUAAUUGGUUUUUAUCUUAUGGAUUCAAGGAAUCACAUAACUGAUCAAGCUUUUUUUCUUUUUGCUUACCUCUAGAAAGAGCUGACUCUUACAAAACACUCUAAAGCACUGUUCUUAAUGCUUCUCAUAAUCACCAACUUAUGUGAUACUCACAAUACUACACAAAAAUUAACUAGUAAGAUGCCCCCAAUGCAGUAGACAUUUUUUUCAGAUGGGGACAUUCAGGAACAAUCAACUUGCCUAAGGUCACAAACGCAGUUAAGUGGCAGAGCUGGGAUUCAUAGUCAGGCAGUCUGGCUCCUUGAUCCGAGCAUUUUAUUUCUGCUUUACCGUCUCUUACGGUAAGUCCAGAGGUAAAUAUUUAUAUUAACAUCACUCUUGACUUUAUCUUAUUUUUCCUAAUUAAGUAUUACUUCUCCAACCCAUUUUUUUCUCCACUUAACUUCUGAAAAGAAAAUUAUCCAGGAGUAUUUUUGUAAGCGGCUCCGAAUUCAGGUGGAAAAAUAUAGAUGAUUAGUCAUUUAAAAAAUUAUUUCUAGGGGGCAACCAGUUAGCUCAGUUGGUUAGAGCGGGGUGCUCUUAACAAGGUUGCCCGGUUUGAUCCCCGCAUGGGCCACUGUGAGCUGCACCCUCCACAACUAGGUUGAAACAACCACUUGACUUGAGCUGAUGGGUCCUGAAAAAACACACUUAAAAUAAAGAAAAGUUUAAAAAAUAUAUUUCUAUUCUCUAAUUGGUCCCCACAGCAUUUUCUAUGUAUUGAUCAAAAAGUGUCGACUUAACCUAUAGAAAAGAGUGCUGGAUGCAUGAAGAAACAGAACUCCUUCAAGUCUGCAACCGUGUAAUAAUCAUAUUAUACACCUAAGAAAUUAAUAACAAUUUAAAUAUUACACUUUUUUAAAGUGCACAUUUUGUGGAAUGGUAGGCUCAAGAGGCUUUGAGAUUUAGGAGAGAGAGAGGUUAGCUCCCCGCCCCGAGUAACGAGGAAGACAGAACACUGGAAUGAGGCCGAAAGAAUCUAAGAUGUUCCUUCCCUGCUUCAGCCCUAGGAGUGUGAUCCCGGCAGGUUUCCUCUCCGGUCCAGUAGGGGGCGGUCACCCGGUGAUCUCUUAAAGACGUUUCCCAGUUAUGACAACCUCAGAGUACCCUUUCUAAAAGCCGCCAGACGAAAACGCGAGCCCAGCCAUCCACCAGAACCCCCCACUUAACCUUUCUUUUCCCCCGUCACCUUCUCUCAGAAGCCCCAGGAGGCCGGCCGCUCCAGCCCCAAGGAGGCCAGACCACCCCAAUAUACACUCCACCGCCGAUGGCUUUCCUAGAGGUGCACCCUCCCCGCCUGCACAACGGUGACCCACGGUGCAUCGGCCGCCCUGGAACC